rnacentral:rRNA from 1 species
AACGAACGCUGGCGGCAUGCCUAACACAUGCAAGUCGAACGAGACCUUCGGGUCUAGUGGCGCACGGGUGCGUAACGCGUGGGAACCUGCCCUUAGGUUCGGAAUAACUCCCCGAAAGGGGUGCUAAUACCGGAUAAUGUCUUCGGACCAAAGAUUUAUCGCCUUUGGAUGGGCCCGCGUUGGAUUAGCUAGUUGGUAGGGUAAAAGCCUACCAAGGCGACGAUCCAUAGCUGGUCUGAGAGGAUGAUCAGCCACACUGAGACUGAGACACGGCCCAGACUCCUACGGGAGGCAGCAGUGGGGAAUAUUGGAAAAUGGGCGGAAGCCUGAUCCAGCAAUGCCGCGUAAGUGAUGAAGGCCUUAGGGUUGUAAAGCUCUUUUAACCGGGAUGAUAAUGACAGUACCGGGAGAAUAAGCUCCGGCUAACUACGUG